rnacentral:rRNA from 1 species
UGCCAGCCGCCGCGGUAAUACGGAGGGGGUUAGCGUUAUCCGGAAUCACUGGGUUUAAAGGGUGCGUAGGCGGCGUUAUAAGUCAGAGGUGAAAUCCCACCGCUUAACGGUGGAACUGCCUUUGAUACUGUAAUGCUUGAAUUAGGUUGAGGUCGGCGGAAUGUGACAUGUAGCGGUGAAAUGCAUAGAUAUGUCAUAGAACACCAAUUGCGAAGGCAGCUGGCUAGACCUAUAUUGACGCUGAGGCACGAAAGCGUGGGGAGCGAACAGGAUUAGAUA